GGAAAUCUCACCAGGCCCGGACACUGGAAGGAUUGACAGAUUGAUAGCUCUUUCUUGAUUCAGUGGGUGGUGGUGCAUGGCCGUUCUUAGUUGGUGGAGUGAUUUGUCUGGUUAAUUCGGAUAACGAACGAGACUCUGUCCUGCUAACUAGCCCUCGGGUCCUGCUUCUGUUGGGCCCGACGGAAUGAUUCGCUUCUUAGAGGGACUCGCGGCGCCUAGCCGCACGAAGGGGGGCGAUAA
rnacentral:rRNA from 1 species